rnacentral:lncRNA from 1 species
AUGUCCCUCCCUGCCAGGCUUAAGAUGCUGGGGAUGAAGGAGGAUGCCUGGACCGGCUGAACCACAUCCCCAGCUUUCGGGUCAUCUUCGCACUGCCAGAGUCUUCACGGGACUCCAGCGUCUGUUUGGAAACACCUCGAUUUGCACUUGGGCAUGUGGAGAGUGGUCCUUUCCAGGGGUUUCUUCAGUGGCACGACACUAUCGCCUUCCGUGUCGAGCUUUGCAGGGUUGUGAAUGCAGUCUGUAUCUACUGAUUUCAUACUUUCUUCCAUUAUAUAACAACAGCAUGUGCUCAGAAAUUUUUGGAAAAAUCUGUUAGUAAAAGGAAAAAAAAAAAAAAAAGAACAAAAGCUAAGCCCGUCCCUAAUGUGCCCAAACACUGCCUCUUCAUUGACUUGAUACGUUUUCUUCUAGCCUGCUGCUCAGGUGGAGUGUUGCACUUCUGAUAAUAUACGAUGAAUCAUGUAGGUAAUAUAAAUACAGAUCAUUGAUUUGCAUAUACUUUGUGUUUGCUUCUAUUAUAUGCAGGGUUUUCUGCAGGACUGUAAAUUCAUUGCAGGCAUUGCCAUUGAUGGCUGCAUAGUAUUCCCUGUAAUAGAGAGGACAUAACUUAAAUUCAAUCCACUCCUCUUGAUUGGAAAUUUGGCUUAUUUCAAAUUUCUUACCAGUAAUGUACAGAAUUUUUUGCCUAUUUGUUUUCUUAUUGUAAGGCUAUUUUCUUAGCAUGCGUGGGUGUCCCAAAUGGAGAGUAUAGGUAUGCACGCUUUUGUUAGCACAUUAAUAUAAAACAGUGAGUUUUGUUUUGACACUUUCAUACAUGACGUAUGCCAAACCAUUGGCUAAAAAGCAAACCCAAAAUUACCCUCCUGCCAACAGCUCACGGGGAAUAAGAAUUGAAUGUUACCGUGGAAACCCUUCAUCAAUACUUUGUUUGCAUUACUUUGGUUAGCCUAGGCUUAAUCAUUUAAUUUAAUGUUAGAAAUGAUUCCAUUUUUAAGCCUCUAGCCAAUUCUCAGAAAAGUCAGAGAUUGGGAGACAAUGAGCACCGUGAAGAGGACAUUUGAUAUUGCUCUGGUUAUGAAUUCUCGGGGCCACACCUAUGUGUGCGAGAUGGCCCAACUGUUGGGUCCACAAGGUGAUGUAAUCCCCAGUGUUCCCUGGCUGUAGGAUGCUAUGAAGAAUUCCCAAAGCGUCAGAUAACAGCUCAACACAAUUUGAAAAGCUCUCCAAUAUAGUUUCAGUAAAUAAGCCGGUAACUUCUAUUAAGAAGGACGAAUGGAUGCAGGCAUGCAGAAGAAAGUCAUGUACUAGUGCAU